rnacentral:rRNA from 1 species
AUGAACGCUGGCGGCGUGCUUAACACAUGCAAGUCGAACGAAGCACUUUAUUUGAUUUCCUUCGGGACUGAUUAUUUUGUGACUGAGUGGCGGACGGGUGAGUAACGCGUGGGUAACCUGCCUUGUACAGGGGGAUAACAGUUGGAAACGGCUGCUAAUACCGCAUAAGCGCACAGCAUCGCAUGAUGCAGUGUGAAAAACUCCGGUGGUAUAAGAUGGACCCGCGUUGGAUUAGCUAGUUGGUGAGGUAACGGCCCACCAAGGCGACGAUCCAUAGCCGACCUGAGAGGGUGACCGGCCACAUUGGGACUGAGACACGGCCCAAACUCCUACGGGAGGCAGCAGUGGGGAAUAUUGCACAAUGGGCGAAAGCCUGAUGCAGCGACGCCGCGUGAGCGAAGAAGUAUUUCGGUAUGUAAAGCUCUAUCAGCAGGGAAGAUAAUGACGGUACCUGACUAAGAAGCACCGGCUAAAUACGAG